rnacentral:SRP_RNA from 2 species
GCUGGGCGUGGUGGCGGGUGCCUGUAAUCCCAUCUACUUGGGAGGCUGAGGCAGGAGAAUUGCUUGAACCCAGGAGGUGGAGGUUGCAGUGAGCCAAGAUUGCACCAUUGCACUCCAGCCUGAGUGACAGAGCAAGACUCUGUCUCAA